UACGGCCAUAUAAUAUUGAAACACCGGUUCUCGUACGAUCACCGAAGUUAAGCAACGUCGAGUCUGGUCAGUACCCAGAUGGGUAACCGUUUGGGAAUAUCAGGUGUUGUAAG